GGAUGAACGCUGGCGGCGUGCCUAAUACAUGCAAGUCGAACGGGGCGCAGCAAUGCGCCCAGUGGCGAACGGGUGAGUAACACGUAUGUAACCUGCCCUUAAGUCUGGGAUACCCAGGGGAAACCGUGGCUAAUACCGGAUAGGAGCGGAUGGGGCAUCCCAACCGCUUGAAAGUCGCGUUUGCGACGCUUUUGGAUGGACCUGUGGCACAUUAGCUAGUUGGCGGGGCAACGGCCCACCAAUGCGAGGAUGUGUAGCCGACCUGAGAGGGUGAACGGCCACAAUGGAACUGAGACACGGUCCAUACUCCUACGGGAGGCAGCAGUAGGGAGUUUUCGGCAAUGGGCGAAAGCCUGACCGAGCAACGCCGCGUGAGUGAGAAGGUCUUCGGAUUGUAAAGCUCUGUUACGAGGGAAGAACGGAUAGGUCAGGAAAUGGGCUUAUCGUGACGGUACCUCGCCAGAAAGUGACGGCUAACUACGUGCCAGCAGCCGCGGUAAUACGUAGGUCACGAGCGUUAUCCGGAAUUAUUGGGCGUAAAGAGUGAGCAGGCGGCAUAGGAAGUCGGAAGUGAAAGCGUGGGGCUCAACCCCAUACAGCUCCCGAAACUCCUAAGCUAGAGUGCGUGAGAGGUAAACGGAACUCCAUGUGUAGCGGUGAAAUGCGUAGAUAUAUGGAAGAACACCAGCGGCGAAGGCGGUUUACCAGCACGAUACUGACGCUCAGUCACGAAAGCGUGGGUAGCAAAUAGGAUUAGAUACCCUAGUAGUCCACGCCGUAAACGAUGAUGACUAACUAUCCCCUCUGGGGGUGGUGAAGCUAACGCAUUAAGUCAUCCGCCUGGGGAGUACGGUCGCAAGACUGAAACUUAAAGGAAUUGACGGGACCCCGCACAAGUAGUGGAGCAUGUGGUUUAAUUCGACGCUACGCGGAAAACCUUACCAGGGCUUGACAUGGAGGCCAAUGCCGUAGAGAUACGGAGCUUUAUGCCUCACACAGGUGGUGCAUGGUUGUCGUCAGCUCGUGUCGUGAGAUGUUGGGUUAAGUCCCGCAACGAGCGCAACCCUUGUCGUCAGUUACCAUCAUUCAGUUGGGGACUCUGACGAGACUGCCGAUGCAAAUCGGAGGAAGGUGGGGAUGACGUCAAAUCAGCAUGCCCUUUAUGUCCUGGGCUACACACGUGCUACAAUGGCCGGUACAAAGAGCUGCGAAGCCGCGAGGCUUAGCGAAUCCCAUAAAGCCGGUCUCAGUUCAGACAGGAGUCUGCAAUUCGACUCCUCGAAGGCGGAAUUACUAGUAAUCGCGGAUCAGAAUGCCGCGGUGAAUAC
rnacentral:rRNA from 1 species